rnacentral:lncRNA from 1 species
AAAGUUUAGCUCAAACAUCUCCUUAGAAGCAUGCUCGCCAGAUUCGCAAAAGCCGACAAGCUUUGCAACAACUUCUGCACUCUCUCUUACAUGUUGCAUGUUAAGAGGGUCUGUCCACAACUUGUUUACCAGUUGCAGCCUCCUCUGUUUUCCUGCCGGUGGGAUAUCCCAUUUUAGGUAAAGCAUCUCUCUUUCUUCUGCACUUAGUCUCGAGCUCACCAUCUUUGCUAAAUAUUCUCUCUCCUGCUUAAGGGACUUAAUACUGUAUUCAAAACCAAAUCAUUAGAAAUCAUCAAAGCAUAUUUACCCUUUAAUUAGUUGCUCAGGGAUAUCAACAAAAGACACUUAAAAUACCUACCUUGAUGAAACAGAGCCUGCAGGUUCAUCACCCAAGAGUGCUGGGCUUGCAUUUCCAAGUUCCGCCAAGUGCUGCUCCAACCAUGUCAACCUUCUUAGCUCAACUUCUAUAUAGAUCUGAUCAGCGGGGUCUCCUCUGAAUAACAUGUAGAAUUGUGUACGAUGAACGAUUGACACAUGGCACAAAUGCCACAACAUGAUAAUUUGCUUUCUCUGUUCCUCAAACACCAAGUGCCAUGAAACAGGAGAUUGAUCAACAAUAUCAGUCUCAUCACUUGGACCCUCAUUUGCCUCAAGCUCCAAGACCUGGUACCGUUAAUUAAAUAUCAUAGAACAUAUUAACCGAAGUUUAGAACUCAUUUAGCAUUAUUAUAUCAAUGACAGAAAUAUCAAAUAGGUCCUACGCGAUCACAUGAAAAUGAUGUGGGCAUAAUUCAUGUCCAAGACAAAAACAAAAUAACUUUACUCUACACAUAUAUACUCAUAUCUUUAUUCAAGUAAGUGAUCCAAAACAAUUUAUCUAUUGAAGAAGGAAAGAGUCAAAAUUUUAUAAUAUAUGGGAUGGUCAAUUAUUUCAUGUAAAGCUAGAGAGAGAUUAUGACCAAUUCAAUUAUACUUGUAGCUGCUGAAACCAGGUGAGAACACAACUUAUGUUAUAACAACUAUGUCGAUGAUCCAAUCUGGUCUACAACCAAAUGGGGCCCUAAACAAGUGACAUGUAAAGUACUAUCCAAACCAACAAGUCAUGACAUAAGGAACCUGUUCAUACCAAACUGAAAUUGAUUUGUCAUACCUAAGGUACAGAUCUUAUCUUAAUCUUUACACGGAGACUUUAUUUAAAUUGUAACCCAUAUUCUGUUGAUCUAAUUCACUGAAAUAUAUGAAGGAAAAGGGAAAACUCACCUGGCAAACGAGAAGCUGCUUUUGAUAUUGGAGCUUUGCUACUCGUUCUUUCAGCUCAGUAACAUAAGCUUUGAUGCUCUGUAUAUUCUCCUCAGC